ACGAACGCUGGCGGCGUGCUUAACACAUGCAAGUCGAACGGAAAGGCCCUGCUUGCAGGGUGCUCGAGUGGCGAACGGGUGAGUAACACGUGGGUGAUCUGCCCCUUACUUUGGGAUAAGCCUGGGAAACUGGGUCUAUUACUGGAUAGGACCAUGCUGUAGGUGGUGUGGUGGAAAGAUUAGUUUCGGUAAGGGAUGAGCUCGCGGCCUAUCAGCUUGUUGGUGGGGUAAUGGCCUACCAAGGCGUCGACGGGUAGCCGGCCUGAGAGGGUGGACGGCCACAUUGGGACUGAGAUACGGCCCAGACUCCUACGGGAGGCAGCAGUGGGGAAUAUUGCACAAUGGGCGCAAGCCUGAUGCAGCGACGCCGCGUGGGGGAUGACGGCCUUCGGGUUGUAAACUCCUUUCAGCCAUGACGAAGCCCUUGUGGUGACGGUAGUGGUAGAAGAAGCACCGGCUAACUACGUG
rnacentral:rRNA from 1 species